rnacentral:piRNA from 1 species
UGGGCAAGACAAAACGGGAUAUCUAUAGGC